rnacentral:rRNA from 1 species
AGCAGCCGCGGUAAUUCCAGCCCCAAUAGCGUAUAUUAAAGUUGUUGCAGUUAAAAAGCUCGUAGUUGAAUUUCGGGAUUGACGUGAUGGUCGUGCCUUACGGGGUAUGAACUGUUGCUGUUGAUUUCUCACCUUCUGGAGAAACUUGAUGUCCUUAAUUGGGUGUCUUGCGGAUCCAGGACCUUUACCUUGAAAAAAUUAGAGUGUUUAAAGCAGGCAUUUUGCUCGAAUACAUUAGCAUGGAAUAAUAGAAUAGGACGGCAUGGUUCUAUUUUGUUGGUUUCUAGGAUCACCGUAAUGAUUAAUAGGGAUAGUUGGGGGCAUUAGUAUUCAAUUGUCAGAGGUGAAAUUCUUGGAUUUAUUGAAGACUAACUACUGCGAAAGCAUUUGCCAAGGAUGUUUUCAUUAAUCAAGAACGAAAGUUAGGGGAUCGAAGACGAUCAGAUACCGUCCUACUCUUAACCAUAAACUAUGCCGACCAGGAAUCAGACGAUGUUAAUUUUUUAAUGACUCGUUUGGCACCUUACG